rnacentral:rRNA from 1 species
GAUGAACGCUGACGGCAUGCUUAACACAUGCAAGUCUUUGGCGAAGCUGUGCUUGCACAGCCUAGCCCAGGCGGACGGGUGAGUAACGCGUAAGGAACUUGCCCUGCAGUCAGGGAUAACAGACGGAAACGACUGAUAAGACAUGGUAAAGUAAGGCGGACUAAUGUCCAGCCUGAUGAAAAGUGAUGCUGCAGGAGAGACUUGCGUCCUAUUGGCGUGUUGGUGGGGUAAUGGCCCACCAAGCCGAUUAUAGGUGCCAGGCCUGAUAGGGUAGACGGCCACAAGUCGACUGGGAUGCGGCAGUUAGUACUACGGGACGCAGCAGGGAGGAAUAUUGGACAAAGGGGGCGACCCUGAUCCAGCUAUUCGGUGCGCACGAUGAUGGUUUUCGGAAUGUAAAGAUGUGUCAGCAGGGAAGAAAAAAAUGACGGUACCUGCAGAAGAAGCGACGGCUAACUACGUG